GUGGGGAAUCUUGCGCAAUGGGCGAAAGCCUGACGCAGCCAUGCCGCGUGGAUGAUGAAGGUCUUAGGAUUGUAAAAUCCUUUCACCGGUGAAGAUAAUGACUGUAGCCGGAGAAGAAGCCCCGGCUAACUUCGUGCCAGCAGCCGCGGUAAUACGAAGGGGGCUAGCGUUGCUCGGAUUUACUGGGCGGAAAGGGCGCGUAGGCGGACAUUUAAGUCAGGGGUGAAAUCCCGGGGCUCAACCUCGGAACUGCCUUUGAUACUGGGUGUCUUGAGUGUGAGAGAGGUGAGUGGAACUCCGAGUGUAGAGGUGAAAGUCGUAGAUAUUCGGAAGAACACCAGUGGCGAAGGCGACUCACUGGCUCAUUACUGACGCUGAGGCUCGAAAGCGUGGGGAGCAAACAGGAUUAGAUACCCUUGUAGUCC
rnacentral:rRNA from 1 species